UACAGAGGGUGCGAGCGUUGUCCGGAAUCACUGGGCGUAAAGGGCGCGUAGGUGGCCCGACAAGUCUGUGGUGAAAGCUCGACGCUCAACGUCGAGUCGGCCAUAGAUACUGUUGGGCUGGAGCACUGUAGAGGCUCAUGGAAUUCCGGGUGUAGCGGUGGAAUGCGUAGAGAUCCGGAAGAACACCGGUGGCGAAGGCGGGUC
rnacentral:rRNA from 1 species